GACGAACGCUGGCGGCGUGCCUAAUACAUGCAAGUCGAACGAACCGCGACUAAGUGCUUGCACUAAGUCAAGGUGAGUGGCGAACGGGUGAGUAACACGUGGGUAACCUACCUCAUAGUGGGGGAUAACAGUCGGAAACGACUGCUAAUACCGCAUAGGACAUAGGAUCACAUGAUCCAGUGAGGAAAGGUGGCGCAAGCUAUCGCUAAGAGAUGGACCCGCGGUGCAUUAGCUAGUUGGUAGGGUAAGGGCCUACCAAGGCGAUGAUGCAUAGCCGACCUGAGAGGGUGAUCGGCCACAUUGGGACUGAGACACGGCCCAAACUCCUACGGGAGGCAGCAGUAGGGAAUCUUCCGCAAUGGACGCAAGUCUGACGGAGCAACGCCGCGUGAGUGAAGAAGGUCUUCGGAUCGUAAAGCUCUGUUGUUAGAGAAGAACAGCGCAUAGAGUAACUGCUAUGCGUGUGACGGUAUCUAACCAGAAAGCCACGGCUAACUACGUG
rnacentral:rRNA from 1 species